rnacentral:siRNA from 1 species
ACCUUAAUCUAGAAUAGCAUCUGC